AUAUUGCACAGUUGAGGGAACUCUGAUGCAGCAACGCCGCGCGAGUGAAGAAGGUUUUCGGAUCGUAAAACUCUGCCAUUGGGGAAGAAUAAAUGACGGUACCCAAUGAGGAAGCCCCGGCUUACUUCGUGCCAGCAGCCGCGGUAAUACGUAGGGGGCGAGCGUUGUCCGGAAUUUCUGGGCGUAAAGGGUACGUAGGCGGCUAUAUAAGUCAGGUGUGAAAUACCAGUGCUUAACACUGGAAUUGCAUUUGAAACUGUGUAGCUUGAGUGCAGGAGAGGAAAGUGGAAUUCCUAGUGUAGCGGUGAAAUGCGUAGAGAUUAGGAGGAACACCAGUGGCGAAGGCGACUGCCUGGACGAUAACUGACGCUGAGGCACGAAAGCUAGGGGAGCAAACA
rnacentral:rRNA from 1 species